rnacentral:lncRNA from 11 species
CUUUGCUUCCUGAGUUGGAUAAGGCAGAGCUGCAGGAGGGAAUUGUCGAGGCUUUAAGGAGGCGUUAAAGCUGUUACUCUAGGAGACUGGAGAGGUGCUGAAGGCAGGCAUGUGUGCUUUCUCUCCUGGGUCUGCACCAUGCCACGCAUUACAGCUGUUUCUACUUUCUACUCUAGAGGAGAGAGCGGUGGUGGGCAAGGCGAGGCAAGGCAAGGCAGGUAGCAGGCAAGGUGAAUGGCAUUCUUCUUCUCUGCCAAUUGGCCCGACAGACAGGACUCAGUGGUCCGAAAAGCAGGUGAGCAAACGGUUUCUGUUCCUACGUUCCUUUUUGUUUCACUGUUUUCUCCAUAAGGGGUUUACC